CCGGCCCGCCCCGCGCCGCGCCGCGCCCGCCCUUCCCGGCACCUCCCUCCGCGCGCUCUUCCCGGCGCCUCCCGAGGCCUCCUCACCGCUGGUCCCGGCCUGGCGCAGCCGGCGCUUUCUAGGGAGAGCCUCCCACCCGGAAGGUAGCCUGGCAACUCCAGGCCCGGACCCCCAGAAGUCCUUUUUGUAUGGCCUUUGGGCACGGAGACCCCGGACCCCCGACGGGAAGGAGGGGCGGAGACUCGGGGAACAGCCCGCGGCGGGGAAAGGCGGGCGGAGGGCAGCUUCCGGAAGUGUGACCAGACCGGGCGGUGGGAUGGAAGACCCAUUACAGAGCUUCACAUGCUGUUCCAGGCCUGUUCUAACAGGAUACCAUUGCUUUAAUGAGAGAGAGAGAGAGAACAUGAAAUCUGUGUGGUGAGGAUCUGGG
ensembl:lncRNA LOC108353164 uncharacterized LOC108353164